AGGACAAAACGCUGGCGGCGUACCUAAGACAUGCAAGUCGAACGGGGGAUGGACCCUUCGGGGACCAUCUCGAGUGGCGAACGGGUGAGUAACACGUAGGAACCUGACGUUUGGUGGGGGAUAACGCUGGGAAACCGGCGCUAAUACCGCAUGAGGUCCCUCGAAAGGGGGAGCAAAGCAGCAAUGCGCCAGAUGAGGGGCCUGUGGCCGAUUAGCUAGUUGGUGAGGUAAAGGCCCACCAAGGCGACGAUCGGUAGCUGGUCUGAGAGGAUGGUCAGCCACACUGGGACUGAGACACGGCCCAGACUCCUACGGGAGGCAGCAGUUAGGAAAUUUUCGCAAUGGGGGAAACCCUGACGGAGUAACGCCGCGUGGAGGAUGACGGCUUUCGGGUUGUAAACUCCUUUUCUGUGGGAAGAGUAGAAGACGGUACCGCAGGAAGAAGCCUCGGCUAACUACGUGCCAGCAGCCGC
rnacentral:rRNA from 1 species